rnacentral:rRNA from 1 species
UAGGGAAUCUUCGGCAAUGGGGGGAACCCUGACCGAGCAACGCCGCGUGAGUGAAGAAGGUUUUCGGAUCGUAAAGCUCUGUUGUUAAGGAAGAACGAGUGUGGGAAUGGAAAGUUCAUGCUGUGACGGUACUUAACCAGAAAGGGACGGCUAACUACGUGCCAGCAGCCGCGGUAAUACGUAGGUCCCGAGCGUUGUCCGGAUUUAUUGGGCGUAAAGCGAGCGCAGGCGGUUAGAAAAGUCUGAAGUUAAAGGCAGUGGCUCAACCAUUGUAGGCUUUGGAAACUGUUUAACUUGAGUGCAGAAGGGGAGAGUGGAAUUCCAUGUGUAGCGGUGAAAUGCGUAGAUAUAUGGAGGAACACCGGUGGCGAAAGCGGCUCUCUGGUCUGUAACUGACGCUGAGGCUCGAAAGCGUGGGGAGCGAACAGG